rnacentral:tRNA from 1 species
GGAGAGAUGGCUGAGCUGGUCUAAGGCGCACGACUGGAAAUCGUGUGUGCGGUAAUCCCGUACCGAGAGUUCGAAUCUCUCUCUCUCCGCCA